CUCAGGCUGUGAGAAUGGAUAAGGAC
rnacentral:piRNA from 1 species